rnacentral:rRNA from 1 species
UACGUAGGGGGCAAGCGUUAUCCGGAUUUACUGGGUGUAAAGGGAGCGUAGACGGCCUUGCAAGUCUGGUGUGAAAGCCCGGGGCUCAACCCCGGGACUGCAUUGGAAACUGCAUAGCUGGAGUGCAGGAGAGGUAAGCGGAAUUCCUAGUGUAGCGGUGAAAUGCGUAGAUAUUAGGAGGAACACCAGUGGCGAAGGCGGCUUACUGGACUGUAACUGACGUUGAGGCUCGAAAGCGUGGGGAGCAAACAGG